AUAGUAGCUAGGCUUUGUGGAAGAGUAUCAUGAAACAAGUCUUCUGGAAAAGCAGUUUUCAGCACUUUCAGACUGAGCAGCCAAAAUUAGUAUGAAGUAAAUGAGAAAGAAAAGAUCUUGAAGGACUGAAGUACUUCGCCAUAGAGCAAAGAGAGGCCCUAAGCUGUUGCAGGCCAUAACAUGAUCUGGAGAAGAAUGAACUGUGUGCCUGAGCUGCUGGGUUUAUUUGUUAAAAUGUUAGAGGGGAAAGUGUGACCUGGAGAAGAAUAAGGAAUCCUUACAGUCUUGCACACUCCUCUGCAUAGCUGUUGUAAAAAAUGCUGUAGCUGAUUCUGAUUAGUAUCCACAUAUCUAAUUGCACUCAGCCUGUUUAUGAUUGUUUGUGCUUAGGAUUUUAUGGCAAUUCUGCAUGCAAUUAGUUUAGAAGUUGGAAGGUGAGUUUUAAUGAAUCUGCUUGUACUGAUUUAAGAUUUCCCCUGGCAGUUGGAAAUUGCCAAUUUCAUUAUAGUCAGAAGAAUAAGGUGAGCUGUGGUUCAGACUUUCUAUCUUAACCCAUAUUUGACUGAAGUGCUGAUGUGAAUGGAGCCAGACUGUCAGCAAGAAGAGCUGAAAUGCAGGCUCACGUCUUGCUUUCUGUUUUCUGUUAGGGGCAGAGCAAUCCUGUUUGGUGCUUAUACUAGUACCCAAGUGCUAGAUGUCAAUGCUAACUUUUAAAGCUCUUGUCUGCCAUCCUUUUCCCGCUUCUAAAGCUUUAUUACUGCUGUGGUAUCAGUCUGCAGAGUGAUGCAGUGACUUUUUUUAUCUGCAUGUAUUAUCAAUACAAAAGUCAUUGUAGGUUUAGCGCUCCUACUGAACUUGAUGGCUGAUAAAAUAUGACAUCUAGAGAAUGCUCUGAAAAGAUGAACAAUUUUUCAUGCUACUGACUAAACAGUUCAAACACUGAACAUCAGUAGGAUUUUGCUAUCUAAGAAGUCAAACUCAAUGAAAUCUUUUUAACUAAGAGAGGAGAUUCAGUGUAGGUAUAAGGCCAGAGAUAGAGGUAAAGCCAGAAGCCCAGCUGAAGUGUAUGUACACUAAUGCACACAGUAUGGGUAAUAA